CUCAUCUCACCACUAGAGGGGAGACUGCGAUUUAUCAACAACAUGUUGCAUGGUGUACUAAAGCAAAGAUUGUCUAUUAUAUUGACAAGAGAUUUGAGUGACCGCUCUAACAAUGGAAAUCCAUGUCCUCAAAGAUGGAAGGCAGGCGGUAGGAGACGAAAUCAGGUGGGACCAUUCUAGCCAAUAAGAGGGCAGAUAUACGUGUGAACAACAGGCCAUAGACAUAUAUGGAGGGCUCAUCAUUGUAUCUGUGCCAUUAUUGAGUACCACAUUAUGAGUCAUAAUACCCCAAAAACCUAUUGGUAACACCUGAAAUUGGUUCCAAUCGUUUUUCCACCCUUCAUUUUUGCAUUGGGGAUUUUAGAACGACUUCAUAUAAGGUGUUUGGUGUAGGCUCACCCCGACGUGACGUUUUGAUAAGGUCUGUGUUUGGUGUAGGCUCACCCUGGUACGACGUUUUAAUAACCGCACAAAUCUCUCUCAGACAAGGUAACUUUAAAAAAAAAGAUUUGCCUGUAAUUCACCCCCGCCCAAAAAAAGAAAUGCUAAUUAGUUGCUAAUGUGAAGAAUACAGAACUACCAGCUGUGGAAAAAAUACCCAAUUGUCAUACGAGUAAAAGUAAAGAUACCUUAAUAGAAAAUGAUUCAAGUAAAAGUGGAAGUCACACAUUAAAAUACUACUUGAGUAAAAGUAUUUGGUUUGAAAUAUACUUAAAUAUCAAAGUAAAUGUAAACUGCUAAAUUAUACUUAAGUAUCAAAAGUAAAAGUAUAAAUAAUUAAAAAUUCUUUAUAUUAAGCAAACCAGACGGCACCACCAAGGCAGUCAUUGUAAGUAAGAAUUUGUUCUUACAAACAGAGCAUCUGUUUAGUGAGUUCUCCAGAUCAGAGGCAGUAGGGAUGACCAGGGAUGUUCUCUGUUUAGUGAGUCCUCCAGAUCAGAGGCAGUAGGGAUGACCAGGGAUGUUCUCUGUUUAGUGAGUCCUCCAGAUCAGAGGCAGUAGAGCUGACCAGGGAUAUUCUCUUGAUAAGUGUGUGAAUUUGACAAUUUUCCCAUCCUGCUAAGCAUUGAAAAUGUAAUGAGUACUUUUGGGUGUCAGGGAAAAUGUAUGGAGUAAAAAGUACAAUAUUUUCUUUAGAAGUAAAAGUUGUCAAAAAUAUAAAUAGUAAAGUAAAAUAUAGAUACCCCAAAAACGACUUAAGUAGUACUUUAAAGUAUUUUUACUAAAGUACUUUACACCACUGAGGACUACACAUUUUGUCGCAAGCUUUUUACUUCAUCCCUCAAGGCAAAUGUCUCCAUACAAACUCAUUAAGUACCCUAGCAAGUAGUGUAGAUAUUAUAGCCUUUUUUAGUUUCUCAUGUGUAUUCUUGUUUAGCAUUUUUCAAAUUACCUAGCUAGCUAACUUAGCAUUUUUUUAAAAUGACUAUAUAAUUUUUUUCCAUUAACCUCUGCCUUUGUAGCGAACUAGCUAACCUUAGGUCUCUCUGCGUACAUCAGAAGCAAGGACGGUAUUUUCAAUGACAUCAUGUUUGGUAUGAAAGAGCAACCGACUGAAGAAGCAGGAUGACUCCAAGAGAACACUAACCUCAUAUAGUCUAUGAAGUCUGUUUCUGAAGAGGACACUAACCUCAUACAGUCUAUGAAGUCUGUUUCUGAAGAGGACCGCUAACCUCAUACAGUCUAUGAAGUCUGUUUCUGAAGAGGACCGUUAACCUCAUAUAGUCUAUGAAGUCUGUUUCUGAAGAGGACACUAACCUCAUACAGUCUAUGAAGUCUGUUUCUGAAGAGGACCGCUAACCUCAUAUAGUCUAUGAAGUCUGUUUCUGAAGAGGACACUAACCUCAUAUAGUCUAUGAAGUCUGUUUCUGAAGAGGCCUGUUAUAUUCAUACAGUCUGUAAUAUCUCUGUUAUAUUCAUACAGCCUGUAAUAUCUCUGUUAUAUUCAUACAGUCUAUAAUAUCUGUGUUAUAUUCAUACAGUCUGUAAUAUCUCUGUUAUAUUCAUACAGUCUGUAAUAUCUCUGUUAUAUUCAUACAGUCUUUAAUAUCUCUGCUGACUGUGAGACCUGCCUUGUUCUUCAGAGAGAUGAAUAUUCCAGUGAUCUGAGCGUUGUACAAGGGGUCUCCUUGUUCCUCCCUGUUCCAACACAGUGGAGAGGAGACAGAGGAGCGGUCCCAGUGGAACUCAGUGGGUGUCCUGCCCCCACGCUCCUUUACAACACAUGGGGAUUGAGACGUAAGUCAUUGAAGAAAGAAAGAUGCAGUGAGUCCGUUCAUGAUGUGCCAGCGAGGCUUUGUGGUAGUGCUGUCAUUGUUCUCUGUCUGUCCAGAGGUGCUGUAUCUGGGCCGUAUCUGAGCCGUAUCUGGGCCCUAACUGGGCCGUAUCUGGGCCGUAUCUGUGCCCUGACUGGGCCGUAUCUGGGCCGUAUCUGGGCCCUAACUGGUCCGUAUCUGGGCCGUAUCUGGGCCCUGACUGGGCUGUAUCUGGGCCGUAUCUGGGCCAUAUCUGGGCCCUGACUAGGCCGUAUCUGGGCUGUAACUGGCCCUUCCAGACCAAACACUUCUCUUUCCUUUCUCCUCAUAAUGGACAUCAAACUUGGCCAGCUGCAAAGUCCGAAUUGGCUAUAUUGUAGAUAUUAGAGAAAACAAAAAUGUGAGGUUGCUAACCCAGUGUGGACAGGUUGGCCAUUAAGGUUAGCAGUGUGGACAGGUUAGCAGUGUGGACAGGUUAGCAGUGUGGACAGGUUGGGCAUUAAGGUUAGCAGUGUGGACAGGUUAGCAGUGUGGACAGGUUAGGCAUUAAGGUUGGCAGUGUGGACAGGUUAGGCAUUAAGGUUAGCAGUGUGGACAGGUUAGGCAUUAAGGUUAGCAGUGUGGACAGGUUAGCAGUGUGGACAGGUUAGGCAUUAAGGUUGGCAGUGUGGACAGGUUAGCAGUGUGGACAGGUUAGCAGUGUGGACAGGUUGGGCAUUAAGGUUAGCAGUGUGGACAGGUUAGCAGUGUGGACAGGUUAGGCAUUAAGGUUGGCAGUGUGGACAGGAUUACAGUGUGGACAGGUUAGGCAUUAAGGUUGGCAGUGUGGACAGGUUAGCAGUGUGGACAGGUUAGCAGUGUGGACAGGAUAGCAGUGUGGACAGGUUGGCAUUAAGGUUAGCAGUGUGGACAGGUUAGCAGUGUGGACAGGUUAACAGUGUGGGCAGGUUGGGCGUUAAGGUUAGCAGUGUGGACAGGUUAGCAGUGUGGACAGGUUAGCAGUGUGGACAGGUUAGCAGUGUGGACAGGUUGGGCAUUAAGGUUAGCAGUGUGGACAGGUUAGCAGUGUGGACAGGUUAACAGUGUGGGCAGGUUGGGCAUUAAGGUUAGCAGUGUGGACAGGUUAGCAGUGUGGACAGGUUGGGCAUUAAGGUUAGCAGUGUGGACAGGUUAGCAGUGUGGACAGGUUAGCAGUGUGGACAGGUUGGCAUUAAGGUUAGCAGUAUGGACAGGUUAGCAGUGUGGACAGGUUGGGCAUUAAGGUUAGCAGUGUGGACAGGUUAGCAGUGUGGACAGGUUGGGCAUUAAGGUUAGCAGUGUGGACAGGUUAGCAGUGUGGACAGGUUGGCAUUAAGGUUAGCAGUGUGGACAGGUUAGCAGUGUGCACAGGUUAGCAGUGUGGACAGGUUAGCAGUGUGGACAGGUUAGCAGUGUGGACAGGUUGGGCAUUAAGGUUAGCAGUGUGGACAGGUUAGCAGUGUGGACAGGUUGGGCAUUAAGGUUAGCAGUGUGGACAGGUUAGCAGUGUGCACAGGUUAGCAGUGUGGACAGGUUAGCAGUGUGGACAGGUUAGCAGUGUGGACAGGUUUGGCAUUAAGGUUAGCAGUGUGGACAGGUUAGCAGUGUGGACAGGUUGGGCAUUAAGGUUAGCAGUGUGGACAGGUUAGCAGUGUGCACAGGUUAGCAGUGUGGACAGGUUAGCAGUGUGGACAGGUUAGCAGUGUGGACAGGUUGGGCAUUAAGGUUAGCAGUGUGGACAGGUUAGCAGUGUGGACAGGUUGGGCAUUAAGGUUAGCAGUGUGGACAGGUUAGCAGUGUGGACAGGUUGGGCAUUAAGGUUAGCAGUGUGGACAGGUUAGCAGUGUGGCCAGGUUAGCAGUGUGGACAGGGUUAACAGUGUGGACAGGUUAGCAGUGUGGACAGGUUAGGCAUAAGGUUAGCAGUGUGGACAGGUUGGGCAUUAAGGUUAGCAGUGUGGGCAGGGUUAACAUCCUAUUUCAUGUCUUUGUGGCUGUGCCGGCUAGUGACCACUCUGCAGAUCUGCCUCCAGAACAACAUUCACGACGAAAAUCUCUAACCUGCAUCGAACUCUCUGAGGUCCCUUCAUAGUGCACUUCUUUAGACCAGGGCUCUGUGCACUUUCUAGGGAAUAGGAUUCCAUUAGGUAUACAAACCACUUCAUCUGAUUCCUCUGACGUGACUACAGUCUUCCUGAUUCCUCUGAUGUGACUACAGUCUGUUCCUGAUUCCUCUGACGUGACUACAGUCUGGUCCUGAUUCCUCUGACGUGACUACAGUCUGUUCCUGAUUCCUCUGACGUGACUACAGUCUGUUCCUGAUUGCUCUGACGUGACUACAGUCUGUUCCUGAUUCCUCUGACGUGACUACAGUCUGUUCCUGAUUCCUCUGACGUGACUACAGUCUGUUCCUGAUUCCUCUGACGUGACUACAGUCUGUUCCUGAUUACUUUGAUGUGACUACAGUCUGUUCCUGAUUCCUCUGAUGUGACUACAGUCUGUUCCUGAUUCCUCUGACGUGACUACAGUCUGUUCCUGAUUCCUCUGACGUGACUACAGUUUGUUCCUGAUUCCUCUGACGUGACUACAGUCUGUUCCUGAUUCCUCUGAUGUGACUACAGUCUGUGCCUGAUUCCUCUGAUGUGACCACAGUGGUUUCCUGAUUCCUCUGACGUGACUACAGUCUGUUCCUGAUUCCUCUGACGUGACUACAGUCUGUUCCUGAUUCCUCUGACGUGACUACAGUCUGUUCCUGAUUCCUCUGAUGUGACUACAGUUUGUUCCUGCUGCUCCUACAACCAAAGGUCCAGAUUAUAGAAAUAUAACAGCUUUUGUAUUUCUAUGUUCCAGAUCCUCUGUUAUAGUUAGCAGCCAGUCAGGAUGUGAAUAAUAAAUCUGUGUUUAGGUCUUGGUCGUGGAUGUAUUCUGUUUGAUUUGUGGCUGUGCCGGCUAGUGACCACUCUGCAGAUCUGCCUCCAGAACAACAUUCACGACGAAAAUCUCUAACCUGCAUCGAACUCUCUGAGGUCCCUUCAUAGUGCACUUCUUUAGACCAGGGCUCUGUGCACUUUCUAGGGAAUAGGAUUCCAUUAGGUAUACAAACCACUUCAUCUGAUUCCUCUGACGUGACUACAGUCUUCCUGAUUCCUCUGAUGUGACUACAGUCUGUUCCUGAUUCCUCUGACGUGACUACAGUCUGGUCCUGAUUCCUCUGACGUGACUACAGUCUGUUCCUGAUUCCUCUGACGUGACUACAGUCUGUUCCUGAUUGCUCUGACGUAACUACAGUCUGUUCCUGAUUCCUCUGACGUGACUACAGUCUGUUCCUGAUUUCUCUGACGUGACUACAGUCUGUUCCUGAUUCCUCUGACGUGACUACAGUCUGUUCCUGAUUACUUUGAUGUGACUACAGUCUGUUCCUGAUUCCUCUGAUGUGACUACAGUCUGUUCCUGAUUCCUCUGAUGUGACUACAGUCUGUUCCUGAUUCCUCUGACGUGACUACAGUCUGUUCCUGAUUCCUCUGACGUGACUACAGUUUGUUCCUGAUUCCUCUGACGUGACUACAGUCUGUUCCUGAUUGCUCUGAUGUGACUACAGUCUGUGCCUGAUUCCUCUGAUGUGACCACAGUGGUUUCCUGAUUCCUCUGACGUGACUACAGUCUGUUCCUGAUUCCUCUGACGUGACUACGGUCUGUUCCUGAUUCCUCUGACGUGACUACAGUCUGUUCCUGAUUCCUCUGAUGUGACUACAGUUUGUUCCUGCUGCUCCUACAACCAAAGGUCCAGAUUAUAGAAAUAUAACAGCUUUUGUAUUUCUAUGUUCCAGAUCCUCUGUUAUAGUUAGCAGCCAGUCAGGAUGUGAAUAAUAAAUCUGUGUUUAGGUCUUGGUCGUGGAUGUAUUCUGUUUGAUAUCAUGGUGAAUAAAAAACCCACUCAGCUACGUUUCUAUCCCAAGCUGUCAGGUCUUCCUCUAUGUCUUCCUCACACCUCCAGAAUGUCACUGCUCCUUUAUCCCAGCUGUCUGUCUGUCAGGACGUGUCAGGAAGUCAGUCCCCCAGCUGAACAGAACUAUUAGGAUGGUGAAAAUACAGCGGAAUGUGAGUGUAGGAGGAAGGCCUGUGUCUUUUACCUGCAUGAAGGCUUAAAAAGCUGAAAGGUUGUGACGAGCCAGCUUCUCUCCCAGGCUCUAUCCCUCUAGGAGGCCGUCGGGACAGGGAUCGACUGCCCACACUCUCCUCCGGGCCCCUCUCUGCCCCUCUUCAACACAACUCAUUGUUCCCCCUCUCUUCUUCUCCAUUCUGCAAGCUGCAGCGUUUUCCAUCCUAGGCAGAACAGAGCAGGUUCCUGUGUGUGUGUGUGUGUGUGUGUGUGUGUGUGUGUGUGUGUGUGUGUGUGUGUGUGUGUGUGUGUGUGUGUGUGUGUGUGUGUGUGUGUGUGUGGGGGAAAGCCCACAAAGCCUCACCCACACAGUCGGGCCCUCUAAAGGCAGAAAGAGACUAGUGGGAGCUCUGGCCGCCCCUGGGGGACAAAUGUGCUUAUUAACAAGUAUAUCUUUCUUAUAGCGACACAUGUUAAGCAAUCAGACUACUCCUUCCAUCUAGUGCUGUCCGGUGUCCCCAUCCACUCACAGUUUACACAGCUUUCCCCCUGGUGUCCCCAUCCACUCACAGUUUACACAGCUUUCCCCUGGUGUCCCCAUCCACUCACAGUUUACACAGGUUUUCCCCUGGUGUCCCCAUCCACUCACAGUUUACACAGCUUUCCCCCUGGUGUCCCCAUCCACUCACAGUUUACACAGCUUUCCCCCUGGUGUCCCCAUCCACUCACAGUUUACACAGCUUUCCCCCUGGUGUCCCAUCCACUCACAGACCCAUGUCAUGGUGGAGCAGCAUCUCCACACCAAACCCCCCUAAGGACCCAUGUCAUGGUGGAGCAGCAUCUCCAUACCAAACCCCCUAAGGACCCAUGUCAUGGUGGAGCAGCAUCUCCACACCAACCCCCCUAAGGACCCAUGUCAUGGUGGAGCAGCAUCUCCACACCAAACCCCCUAAGGACCCAUGUCAUGGUGGAGCAGCAUCUCCACACCAACCCCCUAAGGACCCAUGUCAUGGUGGAGCAGCAUCUCCACACCAAACCCCCUAAGGACCCAUGUCAUGGUGGAGCAAGAUAUCCACACCAAACCCCCCUAAGGACCCAUGUCAUGGUGGAGCAAGAUCUCCACACCAAACCCCCCUAAGGACCCAUGUCAUGGUGGAGCAGCAUCUCCACACCAACCCCCUAAGGACCCAUGUCAUGGUGGAGCAGCAUCUCCACACCAAACCCCCUAAGGAACCAUGUCAUGGUGGAGCAGCAUCUCAACACCAAACCCCCCUAAGGACCCAUGUCAUGGUGGAGCAGCAUCUCCACACCAAACCCCCCUAAGGACCCAUGUCAUGGUGGAGCAUCAUCUCCACACCAAACCCCCUAAGGACCCAUGUCAUGGUGGAGCAGCAUCUCCACACCAAACCCCCCUAAGGACCCAUGUCAUGGUGGAGCAGACAGACAGACAGAGAGAUGUUGGUGGACAGAUAUUUAACGAUAGAUGUGAACUCACAGGCCAAAGUUUCCUCAACUUUAAAACAGCGAGAUCUCCACAAACACCAAAAUGUCAAAAAAACGUCUCUUCACAACAAGAGUAUUGUUUGGCCGGAGGGGGGUGAAGUCAGAGAGACAUGGUCGAGUUGCCUCGACACCAGCCUCCGUCGCGUCUGUCCCCCAUCCUUAUGAAUGUCACAUGGCUUCUCCUUCUCUACUGAUGAGUGUGAGGGUCUUAACGUGGUGGAACAGAGGGUCUUAACGUGGUGGAACAGAGGGUCUUAACGUGGUGGAACAGAUGGUCUCAACGUGGUGGAACAGAGGGUCUCAACGUGGUAGAACAGAGGGUCUCAACGUGGUGGAACAGAGGGUCUCAACGUGGUGGAACAGAGGGUCUUAACGUGGUGGAACAGAGGGUCUUAACGUGGUGGAACAGAGGGUCUCAACGUGGUGGAACAGAGGGUCUUAACGUGGUGGAACAGAGGGUCUUAACGUGGUGGAACAGAGGGUCUUAACGUGGCGGAACAGAGUAACAUGGUGGAACAGAGGGUCUCAACGUGGUGGAACAGAGGAUCUUAACGUGGUGGAACAGAGGGUCUUAACGGGGUGGAACAGAGGGUCUUAACGUGGUGGAACAGAGGGUCUUAACGUGGUGGAACAGAGGGUCUUAACGUGGUGGAACAGAGGGUCUCAACGUGGCGGAACAGAGGGUCUCAACGUGGUGGAACAGAGGGUCUCAACGUGGUGGAACAGAGGGUCUCAACGUGGUGGAACAGAGGGUCUCAACGUGGUGGAGCAGGCUUCCCAAAUGGCACCCUAUUCCCUAUAUAAUGCAGUACUUUUGACCAGGACCCUUAGUCGAAAUUAGUGCCCUUUGUAGGGAAUAAGUGACCAGGGCCCCUGGUCAAAAGUAGUGCACUAUAUAGGGAAUAAGUUACCAUUUGGGACACAACCAGAGUAACAAAGACAGUAGCCAAACUCCCACUGUGAGGUGAGUGAUCUGGCAGUCUACCACUGUUGGGGUGAAUCCCCACCUUUAUUCCCUACAUAGUGCACGGUGGAAAGUAGUGCACUACAUAGGGAGCCGGUUUGAAGUGUAACCCCCAUGAGUGGAAGUAUUCUUGACUUCCUGCCGUAAGACCUUCCUACGUGGGCUGAUCCGAAAAGCUUCAAUAAAAAAAACCCACUGAUAAAGAAAUGUGUUUCCUGCCUUUUCAUCUUCCGUUCUAGUGUUAUUAGACGGCGGAGAGAGAGAGAGAGAGCUACUGUAUCGCCGUUGAUCUGUGUGAUUGUCGUGGACGAGCCGAAAACCUUUUUGAGUGGGUUGUACGGUUACACUGUUGUUCCCCCCCAC
rnacentral:lncRNA from 1 species